rnacentral:tRNA from 5 species
GCGCCAGUGGUCCAGUGGUAGGACAGUGGCUUCCCAAGCCACUAGCCCGGGUUCAAUUCCCGGCUGGCGCA